GGCCCGCACCGGGGAGGAAGCUCCGGGGAGGCCGUGCGCUUCCUCCUCUGCCCCGGCCUCGCCUUUGCUGGAGCUGGUGGCCGCAGGAUCUGCUGCACCGCCGUGGUUUUACGCCUUCCCCUCAUUGUCUGCAAUCAAAGCCCUGCGAUUUCCUCCUUCUGCACCGUGACCUCAGACGCCCCCGGGGCACCUGGUUGCAGCCUUCCUGCCGACCCCUCGGUCUCAGCGUGGUCCUCGCCGAGCCCCGUGUCACCUUGUGCUUCCUGCGUCCACAUCUGCUCCCGCCGCCUGAGAUGGCCUCUUUAUUUAUUUAUUUAUUUUUGUUUUCCGCGCGCUUCUCUUCCUCCUCCCCGGUUUUGACCUUAUUUUUUAGUUCCAUAGGCUCUCAGGGCCUGAAGUUCAGGUGGCCUAAUUGCGCAUCCGUUAGACACUUAAGGUCUCCGAGCAAGUCAGCAGGUGUUAACCUACGCGAAGGAUCUGCAGGAGCAUCUUUUUUAUCGAGUACCCGCUUAGUACCAAGUUCUCACAUCCGCUGUGAAACCCAGAUGGGAAGACAGUCCCCCCCAUUUCCACGAGGUUCGCUGCCCGGCCUAUCAGAGGAGCAGGAAGGAGGACGAAUGAUUGCACAGCUAGACGAGCCCUGGGAAAGGAGCCGGCCGAGUGCUCUGCUCUGGCAGUGUGGUCACUAGUGUUUGCAUGGAAUUGACAAAUGCACUUUUUUUUUUUAAAGAGAUUUUAUUUAUUUAUUCAUGAGAAACACACAGAGAGAGGCAGAGACACAGGCAGAGGGAGAAGCAGGCUCCAUGCAGGGAGCCCAACGCGGGACUCUAUCCCAGGACCCCAGGGUCACGCCCUGGGCCAAAGGCGGUGCUAAACUGCUGAGCAACCCGGGGCUGCCCGACAAAUGCACUUUUUAAGAGUGCAUUUUUUUUCUUUUUUUUUUUUAAUUUAUUUUUUAUUGGUGUUCAAUUUACUAACAUACAGAAUAACCCCCUUAAGAGUAUUUUCUGUGUGUGUGUACUGCUAUCAGCGUCUUGAGCCCUUGGCCAACAAAGGAGUUUCUGUAGCUUAGCUCAUCUCUGACUCAGAGCAGACAUCCUGGGGAGUUGUCAGCGGAGUGAAAUUGUGAGCAGGCAAGUCAACAGUCCUGGGGAUCUGACUCAAUGCGAAGAUAGAGCUCAGGGAGCCAGGGUGAAGGAACACUUACCAAGACCCGCACACUCCUAAGCCAAAGCAGUCUCAAGCUUUCAACUUGAAUUGGACAGCUGGUGGUUCCAGACUGAGCUUUCGAGCAAACACUAGGAGUACAACUGCGGCUGGUUGUUGAUGGAAAUGAAAGCAAUAUCCUCCAGAACCCUAGGUGUGUGCAGGAACCAAAGGUUGGCCGGUGUCCUUGGAUAAAGGCCAUUCUGCAGACAGCUGUGUAUGUCACAUCACCGGGGCCGCCUGUGGUGAGAGAGAUUUUCAGCUGGUGGAAGUUUGGUGGGAUGCAACCGGUCGGCUCCAUCAUAACCGUAAUCACCAUUCCCGUUUAAUGAGGGAGCCUCAUGACAAGGGACCCUUGUAAAAUGACUGUGCUCAUUUUGUAAGUAGAGAAACUGAGGCCAAGGAAGGCGUGACCCACCCAAGGCCUGAGUGUUAGCGGUAAUCAUUAAUACCAAACAGUCUGGUUUGACUCCUUCCGGGCUCAUGGCAGGAGUGCAUUUCCUUGUACCUUCAAAUUUGGGAGUGGCAUAUGAACUGCUUUGGCUGGUGAAAUAUGAGAAAUGACACACAUCAUUUUCAAGCAGCGGCACUGCGAUUCCAUUGCAGACACUGUAGCGUACUCUUUUCCUUGUACGGAGAUCAGUGAUGGUGAAAGCGUGUGUCAAAAUGAAACUUAUGUCAGCCUGGGUCCCUAAGUUAGCACGAUAAGCCCAAGCCUCCUGCCAACCUACAUAAAGCAGAUUUCCAGACGCUUAGAAUCUCCCUACAGGUAAGAGCAGCUGUGAGGAAGGAUGGCUGAGCUCCUUGCAAUAUCUGACAAGAGCCGUAGGGGUCCUCAGUGCUCAGGCUGAGACUCACCGUCCGGGCCUCCAGGGACGGCUUGGAGGUCCGCGUUCCAGGAUUGACAACGCCUCCUGGUGGCAAGACCUACAAUAAAUCAUUCCCAGUUGAAAGGUG